rnacentral:lncRNA from 1 species
AUGCUGAUGCCUAAGAAGAACGGGAUUGCCAUCUAUGAACUCCUUUUUAAGGAGGGAGUCAUGGUGGCCAAGAAGGAUGUCCACCUUCCUAAGUACCCAGACCUGGCAGAAGACAAGAAUGUGCCCAACCUUUACAUCAUGAAGGCCAUGCAGUCUCUCAAGUCUUAAGGCUACGUGAAGGAACGGUUUGUCUGGAGACAUUUCUACUGGUACCUUACCAACGACGGUAUCCAGUAUCUCUGAUUACCUCCAUCUGCCCCGUGAGACUGUGCCUUCCACCCUAUACCACAGGCAUCCAGAGACUGGCAGGCUUUGGCCUAAAGGUCUGGAGGGUGAGCAACCCGCAAAGCUCACAAAAGGGGAAGCCAAAAGACACCCACAGACAGAGUGCUGUGUCCCCUGGUCCGAUGAGAAAGCCGAGGCCGGGGUUGGGUCAGCAACCAAAUUCCAGUUUAGAAGCAGAUUUGGUUGUGGGUGUGGUCAGUGACCUCAGUAA